rnacentral:rRNA from 1 species
CAGCCGCCGCGGUAAUACGUAGGUGGCAAGCGUUGUCCGGAAUUAUUGGGCGUAAAGGGCUCGCAGGCGGUUUCUUAAGUCUGAUGUGAAAGCCCCCGGCUCAACCGGGGAGGGUCAUUGGAAACUGGGAAACUUGAGUGCAGAAGAGGAGAGUGGAAUUCCACGUGUAGCGGUGAAAUGCGUAGAGAUGUGGAGGAACGCCAGUGGCGAAGGCGACUCUCUGGUCUGUAACUGACGCUGAGGAGCGAAAGCGUGGGGAGCGAACAGGAUUAGAAACCCGCGUAGUCCCUGUCUCUUAUAC